CGCAGGUAUCUAUCCCGGAGCACGUGUGGCAGGCGAGGGGUGGGAUUGGACCUGCCGCUCCUUGGUUGUUAUUUUUUGACUUUCCUCGCUAUCAUCAAGUCCAAGUGAAUGAUUGUGAGCGAGUGGCAUCAACGUGAGUGCCUGGCGUGUACUGGUGAUCCGUGGCGUGGUUGCAACACUUGGCGGAAAGGCGGAAAUAAGAAAAUAAGGUUAAUUACACUCCCGGUGGCUUGGAGAAUGGAAAAUGCAAGCCGUUGAACGAUCACCACCAAGAUUAUCACCACGACGACUACGAAUCUACGACUACCAUUCAUCACUACUAAGAUAAUAUAAAAGUGAGUGACGCGAGGCUUUGGAAGAGAAAGCAUUGUCUCUCCGCUGAACACUCGCGGCUAUGAUAAUGAGGAAAACACGCCCGGAGAAAACGGGAAGGAGAGAGAAUAGAAAACGUGGGGCGGCUGGUAAUAAGACCUCGGGGCUCAGAAAAUACGACGGCUUAAAGAGAAUCGAAAACGCUCUUUAUAACGAUUACGAAACCUUCUUUGUUCUCUGUGACAGUCUCAAGACCACGCCCAAGACUA